rnacentral:rRNA from 1 species
UGGGGAAUAUUGCACAAUGGGCGAAAGCCUGAUGCAGCAACGCCGCGUGAGGGACGACGGCCUUCGGGUUGUAAACCUCUUUAGCAAGGAAGAAGCGAAAGUGACGGUACUUGCAGAAAAACGCGCCGGCUAACUACGUGCCAGCAGCCGCGGUAAUACGUAGGGCGCAAGCGUUAUCCGGAAUUAUUGGGCGUAAAGAGCUCGUAGGCGGUUUGUCGCGUCUGCUGUGAAAACCCGAGGCUCAACCUCGGGCCUGCAGUGGGUACGGGCAGACUAGAGUGCGGUAGGGGAGAUUGGAACUCCUGGUGUAGCGGUGAAUGCGCAGAUAUCAGGAAGAACACCGAUGGCGAAGGCAGAUCUCUGGGCCGUAACUGACGCUGAGGAGCGAAACGGGUGGGGAGCAAACAGGCUUAGAUACCCUGGUAGUCACCCCGUAAACGUUGGGAACUAGUUGUGGGGUCCAUUCCACGGAUUCCGUGACGCAGCUAACGCAUUAAGUUCCCCGCCUGGGGGAGUACGGCCGCAAGGCUAAAAC